rnacentral:rRNA from 1 species
GACGAACGCUGGCGGCGUGCCUAAUACAUGCAAGUCGAGCGCAGGAAACUGACGGAACUCUUCGGAGGGAAGACAGUGGAAUGAGCGGCGGACGGGUGAGUAACACGUAAGGAACCUGCCUCAAGGAUUGGGAUAACUCCGAGAAAUCGGAGCUAAUACCGGAUAGUUCAACGGACCGCAUGGUCCGCUGAUGAAAGGCGCUCCGGCGUCACCUUGAGAUGGCCUUGCGGUGCAUUAGCUAGUUGGUGGGGUAAUGGCCCACCAAGGCGACGAUGCAUAGCCGACCUGAGAGGGUGAUCGGCCACACUGGGACUGAGACACGGCCCAGACUCCUACGGGAGGCAGCAGUAGGGAAUCUUCCACAAUGGACGAAAGUCUGAUGGAGCAACGCCGCGUGAGUGAUGAAGGUUUUCGGAUCGUAAAACUCUGUUGUAAGGGAAGAACACGUACGAGAGGGAAUGCUCGUACCUUGACGGUACCUUACGAGAAAGCCACGGCUAACUACGUGCCAGCAGCCGCAGUAAAAC